UACGAAGGGGGCUAGCGUUGCUCGGAAUCACUGGGCGUAAAGCGCACGUAGGCGGAUCGUUAAGUCGGGGGUGAAAUCCUGGAGCUCAACUCCAGAACUGCCUUCGAUACUGGCGAUCUUGAGUCCGGAAGAGGUGAGUGGAACUCCUAGUGUAGAGGUGGAAUUCGUAGAUAUUAGGAAGAACACCAGUGGCGAAAGGCGGCUCACUGGUCCGGUACUGACGCUGAGGUGCGAAAGCGUGGGGAGCAAACAGG
rnacentral:rRNA from 1 species